AUUGCAGUUGAUACUGUCAGUCUUGAGUACAGUAGAGGUGGGCGGAAUUCGUGGUGUAGCGGUGAAAUGCUUAGAUAUCACGAAGAACUCCGAUUGCGAAGGCAGCUCACUGGACUGCAACUGACACUGAUGCUCGAAAGUGUGGGUAUCAAACAGGAUUAGAUACCCUGGUAGUCCACACAGUAAACGAUGAAUACUCGCUGUUUGCGAUAUACAGCAAGCGGCCAAGCGAAAGCAUUAAGUAUUCCACCUGGGGAGUACGCCGGCAACGGUGAAACUCAAAGGAAUUGACGGGGGCCCGCACAAGCGGAGGAACAUGUGGUUUAAUUCGAUGAUACGCGAGGAACCUUACCCGGGCUUAAAUUGCAGUGGAAUGAUGUGGAAACAUGUCAGUGAGCAAUCACCGCUGUGAAGGUGCUGCAUGGUUGUCGUCAGCUCGUGCCGUGAGGUGUCGGCUUAAGUGCCAUAACGAGCGCAACCCUUAUCUUCAGUUACUAACAGGUCAUGCUGGGGACUCUGGAGAGACUGCCGUCGUAAGAUGUGAGGAAGGUGGGGAUGACGUCAAAUCAGCACGGCCCUUACGUCCGGGGCUACACACGUGUUACAAUGGGGGGUACAGAAGGCAGCUAGCGGGUGACCGUAUGCUAAUCCCAAAAUCCUCUCUCAGUUCGGAUCGAAGUCUGCAACCCGACUUCGUGAAGCUGGAUUCGCUAGUAAUCGCGCAUCAGCCACGGCGCGGUGAAUACGUUCCCGGGCCUUGUACACACCGCCCGUCAAGCCAUGGGAGCCGGGGGUACCUGAAGUACGUAACCGCAAGGAUCGUCCUAGGGUAAAACUGGUGACUGGGGCUAAGUCGUAACAAGGUAACCA
rnacentral:rRNA from 1 species